rnacentral:lncRNA from 10 species
UUUCCACAAAAAGCAUAAAGUGAUGAGACUAGCAAAGGCAAUUCUAUUUUGAAAGAUUUGAAAGCAUGGAAACCCAUUCUUGCAAUUAGUUCACAGGACUAUAAUUUACCAUUAAAGUUCAAUGAUUACAUUUCAGAUCUCUGAUAAAACUCAUUUUAACAGCUGAAUAAAAUCAAGCUUAGGUCAUAACUGAGCGUAAUGCCAAACAAAGCAGACGUAAAACAGUUGUAAUUUACUGUGAGAACUCAAACAGAUGUUUCACACUAUUUACAACCACUUAGAAUAGUACCUAUUUAACAACAGCUAAUUUUUUAAAAAUAGGUACUGCCUGCUACUGGGAAAGGUCCAGUUGAAUUGUCACUAGUAGCAAAUUAGCUAAAUUUAUGGAACACCUACUGUGAACCAGGAUUUACACCAGGUGCUUUUCAUUAUUGUUUUCAUCCUCACAAUAACACUAUCGAAUAGAUAUUAAGUUGCCUAUCUGGAUUAAAGUCACAGCUAAAGCUGUGCGCAGCAGCUCACCCCCAUAGUUAAAUAUUAAAACAAUCACAGCUGUCCUCUGAGUCCCAUCGUUUUAAGUGCAAGCAUUCAGCCCUGCCUAAAGAAAGGAAAUAUUAAGUAGCAAAACAAAAACCAGAAUCUGAAGCAUCUCUGCGGCAUCUGGAGGCUUUCACGGAUUUUUCUAUUGCUUGAUAUGUCCUGUCGUUCCCCUAACAGCCAAAUAACUUUUAUAACCUCAGGAAACUUAACUAUCUAAAAGUUAAAAUAUCCAACUCUUAGUGAUAAUCAUUUAAAAGCCCUAGUAACACAUCCCUUAUUGUGUAAGCCAAAAUAAAAAUCUCACUUUAUAGAAAUAUUUCACAAGUGUGUAUCCUUUCUACCCUAGUUAUCAUUUUUUUUUUAUUUUGAGACGUAGUCUCACUCUGUUGCCCAGGCUGGAGCACAAUGGCACGAUCUCAACUCACUGCAACCUCCGACUCCUGGGUUCAAGCGAUUCUCCUGCCUCAAUAUCCUAUGAGUAGCUGGAAUUACAGGUGUAUGCCCCCACGCCCGGCUAAUUUUUGUAUUUUUUUUUUUUUAAGUAGAGACAGGGUUUCACCACGUUGGCCCAGGCUGGUCUCUAACUCCUGACCUCAGGUGAUCUGCUGACCUUGGCCUCCCAAAGUCCUGGGAUUACAGGUAUGAGCUACCGCACCCAGUCUACCCUCAUCAUCUAGAUUCAACUUAGUUUGCAUGAUUAUGGAGCAUGUAUUUAGACUCCAGUAUCAGAUUAGGGAUGAUGACGGAUGGGGUGUUA